rnacentral:piRNA from 1 species
UGCUGAGUCCAUGUGUAACCUCCAUCCC